rnacentral:rRNA from 1 species
AGAGUCACUCCUACGGGAGGCAGCAGUCGGGAAUUUUGGGCAAUGGGCGAAAGCCUGACCCAGCAACGCCGCGUGAAGGAUGAAAUCCCUCGGGAUGUAAACUUCGCAAGAACGGGAAGAAUAAGUGAGGGUUAAUAUCCCUUACGAUGACGGUACUGUUUGUAAGCUCCGGCUAACUCCGUGCCAGCAGCCGCGGUAAUACGGGGGGAGCAAGCGUUGUUCGGAUUUACUGGGCGUAAAGGGCGCGUAGGCGGCCACCGCAAGUCGACUGUGAAAUCUCCGGGCUCAACCCGGAACGGUCAACUGAUACUGCGGGGCUAGAGUGCAGAAGGGGCAACUGGAAUUCUCGGUGUAGCGGUGAAAUGCGUAGAUAUCGGGAGGAACACCAGUGGCGAAGGCGGCGCACUGGACCAUAACUGACGCUGAGGCGCGAAAGCUAGGGGAGCAAACAGGAUUAGAUACCCUGGUAGUCCUAGCCCUAAACGAUGACUGCUUGGUGUGACGGGUACCCAAUCCCGCCGUGCCGUAGCUAACGCGUUAAGCAGUCCGCCUGGGGAGUACGGUCGCAAGGCUGAAACUUAAAGGAAUUGACG